CGGAGGGAUCAUUAAAGAGUUCUAUAACUCCCAAACCCAUGUGAACAUACCUAACGUUGCCUCGGCAGGUCGCACCUACCUUGUAGCACCCUACCCUGUAGGGCCUACCCGGGAGGUGCGGGUAAGCCUGCCGGCGGCCCACCAAACUCUGUUUGAUAUUGAAUUCUGAACCUAUAACUAAAUAAGUUAAAACUUUCAACAACGGAUCUCUUGGUUCUGGCAUCGAUGAAGAACGCAGCGAAAUGCGAUAAGUAAUGUGAAUUGCAGAAUUCAGUGAAUCAUCGAAUCUUUGAACGCAUAUUGCGCCCAUUAGUAUUCUAGUGGGCAGGACCGUUCGAGCGUCAUUUCAACCCUUAAGCCUUCGUUGCUUAGUGUUGGGAGCCUACGGCAACGUAGCUCCUCAAAGUUAGUGGCGGAGUUGGUUCACACUCUAGACGUAGUAAUUUUUUAUCUCGCCUAUUAGUUGGACUAAUCCCCUGCCGUAAAACCCCCAAUUUAUCAAGGUUGACCUCGAAUCGGUUCAGACAAACUCGCUAAAUUGAAGCAUCUUAGUCAGCGAAGGAAAAGAAACCAACAGGGAUUGCCCUAGUAACGGCGAGUGAAGCGGCAACAGCUCAAAUUUGAAAUCUGGCCCUCGGGUCCGAGUUGUAAUUUGU
rnacentral:rRNA from 1 species